UACAGAGGGUGCGACCGUUGCUCGGAAUUACUGGGCGUAAAGGGCGCGUAGGCGGCCUGCUAAGUCGAACGUGAAAUCCCCGAGCUCAACUCGGGAACUGCGUCCGAUACUGGCAGGCUUGAAUCCGGGAGAGGGAUGCGGAAUUCCAGGUGUAGCGGUGAAAUGCGUAGAUAUCUGGAGGAACACCGGUGGCGAAGGCGGCAUCCUGGACCGGCAUUGACGCUGAGGCGCGAAAGCCAGGGGAGCAAACGGG
rnacentral:rRNA from 1 species